rnacentral:miRNA from 1 species
GGUCUUCUGACUCCUAGCCCAGGGCUCUUAAUUUGUAUUGGCUCAUCCAUGAGGCAUAUGGCUCUGAGUCUGCAGA